AUUGAACGCUGGCGGCAGGCCUAACACAUGCAAGUCGAACGGUAACAGGAAGAAGCUUGCUUCUUUGCUGACGAGUGGCGGACGGGUGAGGAAUGUCUGGGAAACUGCCUGAUGGAGGGGGAUAACUACUGGAAACGGUAGCUAAUACCGCAUAACGUCGCAAGACCAAAGAGGGGGACCUUCGGGCCUCUUGCCAUCGGAUGUGCCCAGAUGGGGUUAGCUAGUAGGUGGGGUAACGGCUCACCUAGGCGACGAUCCCUAGCUGGUCUGAGAGGAUGACCAGCCACACUGGAACUGAGACACGGUCCAGACUCCUACGGGAGGCAGCAGUGGGGAAUAUUGCACAAUGGGCGCAAGCCUGAUGCAGCCAUGCCGCGUGUAUGAAGAAGGCCUUCGGGUUGUAAAGUACUUUCAGCGGGGAGGAAGGGAGUAAAGUUAAUACCUUUGCUCAUUGACGUUACCCGCAGAAGAAGCACCGGCUAACUCCGUG
rnacentral:rRNA from 1 species